AAAGUACUCCCUCCGUCCGAAAAUACUUGUCGGAGGAAUGGAUGUAUCUAGAUGUAUUUUAGUUAUAGAUACAUCCAUUUUUAUGCAUUUCUCCGACAAGUAAUUUCGGACGGAGGGAGUAGUAU
rnacentral:pre_miRNA from 1 species